CAGGUUUAGGUUUAAGGGUGAAUGGUAUCGGAAAACUUAGUGCGCACCCAUUUCCAGCCACAACAAGGGGUUGACCUGCAUUCAGAACAAUUUACGCGCAGCAAAAGGAGUUCAUUCACACCGUUUUGGCUGUUUUCUGUGCACGCAACACUCGUCUUUAAGUAGCCAGAAAUGGCACUUAAGCCGGGAACGCUAAUCUGUUUUGCUUUAAUUUUACUUAUUGCUUUCUUGGCGUGCGAGGGUGAAGCGAAAAACAAGGCUGGAAAAGUGGUAAAGAAUGCUGCCAAAGCGUACGCUGGACACAAAGCGGCGAAAUCAUCGUGGAAAAUAUUCAAAAUAAUCGGCAUGAUAAUUUUCGUGGGGGCCCUGGUCGGCGGGAUCGCGAUGUGCUUCAUCCUGGCGCGCAGGAGGGCGGGCGGAGGUGAGGGCUUCGGCCUGCUCAGGGAAGGACCCUAGCGACUCUACCCACAGGUCGCGCGCUACCUGGUCGGGCUGGCUGGCUUCUGUCUCUUCCUUUGGUGCCGCAACCUUAUGCUGAAGGCAUACCGAUCCGAGAAAGCCGCUGGUCCAGACUGAAUUUUGUUCAAAUUGUCACAACAAACGCAUAUUUUCCUGAAGCAUUCGAGUUGCAUAUUCUCUAUGGAUUUAAAAUAUUAAUUUAUAUCAUUAUUUUGCCAAAAUAAAUUAUGAUUUUAAAUAGCUAUAAGGGAUUUAGAAAUAUUUUGAACCUUAGUCAAACAAGAUUAUUUGCAAAAAUUAACCUACUUAGCCCACCAUACUAUAUUUUAAAUUAAAACAACUUAGAGAAUUCUUCGAAUUUUCGUGCUCAUUAAUGAAUGUGGAACAAUAUAAAUACUAUCCAAGCAAGAUAGCAGUCUUUAAAAGUGCAAAAUGUUCCGGCUACAUGCCGAGUAAAAAUGUCCUGGAAAUCGUCCCAAAAUGAACCAACUCAUUGUCAGUUGCAAAAGCACAGAGUUUAAAUUUUGAGCUAUAUGGAAUGGAGCUACCACUGUGUUCGUAUACCUCAAACAAUGUUGCAAACUUGUUAUUUUUAUGUGGAAUAAUAUGCUGCACUAUUGUGAGUAUCAAAAUGCAAUUAUAAAUGUCAGCCAUGUAAAGCCUAACAAAUGUUCAGAAAUAUUUAGACAUCGGCGUAAAAUAAAUGUAGAAUUAAGCAGA